UACGUAGGUGGCAAGCGUUUGUCCGGAUUUACUGGGCGUAAAGGAUGCGUAGGUGGAUAUUUAAGUGGGAUGUGAAAUACCCGGGCUUAACUUGGGUGCUGCAUUCCAAACUGGAUAUCUAGAGUGCAGGAGAGGAAAGUGGAAUUCCUAGUGUAGCAGUGAAAUGCGUAGAUAUUAGGAGGAACACCAGUGGCGAAGGCGACUUUCUGGACUGUAACUGACACUGAGGCAUGAAAGCGUGGGGAGCAAACAGG
rnacentral:rRNA from 1 species